AAUUGUGCCUGUAGAGAUGCCCGACCAAGCCGGAGGGUUUCAGAGAUGGCGACAAUAUCAAUCUGGAAUCUUCUCAGCUCUCGGGCGAUGAUGGCAGUAAGCCAUUCGGGUUAAUUGCUGGAUUGAUUGUCCAUGAGGGUUCGUAUGUUCCAGCUUCAAAAUAUACGUGUUUCUGUUUCUGACCACAUGGUGGUGAUCCCUCUGGAAGGAGUGGUCCAGACAAGAGAUUGUGUCUAGGAGCUGCCAGACUUCACUGUCCUGCUCCAUCACCUUUUCCUGAGAUGACAGCGGACUUCAGGAGGAGCCCCCCCCCCAACACCCCCCCGACCAUACUCAACAGCACAGGGUCUACGGUGAAAACCUACAUAUUUCUGGGUUCCACAAUCUCCCUGGAUCUGAGAUGGGCAUCCAACAUAGAUAGACACAAUCAUCACAAAGGCCCAGCAGAGAAUAUACUUUCUCCGCCAGCUCAAGAAAUUCAACCUGCCUCAGGAACUGUUGAUUCCGUUCUACACUGCAAUAAUCCAGUCUGCCCUCUGCACAUCCAUUACUGUCUGGUUUAGUUCGCCCACCAAACAGGACAGGGACAGACUAUAACUGACAGUUAGGUCGGCAGAGAAAAUGAUUGGUGCCGCCUGCCCUUCUUUCAGGACUUAUACCCCUCCAGACUCAGGAAACAGGCAGGGAACGUCAUUGCAGACCCAUAAUACCCUGGUCACAACCUGUUCCAACUCCUCCCCUUUGGCAGGCGCUACAGAGCACUGUACCCCAAAACAACCUGAUAUAAAAACAGUUUCUUUCCACAGGCUGUCAUUCAAAUGAACGCUUAACACUGUCAAUAAAGCCAGCCUUUUUAAACAUUUUGUAUAUACUGUACAUUGUACAUAUUAAUGGCGAGUGGUCAUAAUAAGCUGUAAAUGCGGUGCAUGCCCAAGGCAUUUGAAAAUGACCUGAGAAUUUACAUACAAUACAAUAAUGAAUUGAAAAUCUAUUUCUAAUAAGUAACAUGAGCAUUAUUUACAU